GUGUCAGCAGCCGCGGUAAUACGAAGGGGGCUAGCGUUGUUCGGAAUUACUGGGCGUAAAGGGCGCGCAGGCGGCUCUUCAAGUCAGAUGUGAAAGCCCCGGGCUCAACCUGGGAACUGCAUUUGAGACUGGAGAGCUUGAGUUCGGGAGAGGAGAGCGGAAUUCCCAGUGUAGAGGUGAAAUUCGUAGAUAUUGGGAAGAACACCGGUGGCGAAGGCGGCUCUCUGGACCGAUACUGACGCUGAGGCGCGAAAGCGUGGGGAGCAAACAGGAUUAGAUACCCUGGUAGUCCACGCCGUAAACGAUGUGCGCUAGACGUUGGGAGACCUAGUCUCUCGGUGUCGCAGCUAACGCGUUAAGCGCACCGCCUGGGGAGUACGGCCGCAAGGUUAAA
rnacentral:rRNA from 1 species